rnacentral:snoRNA from 1 species
UGGAUCAAUGAUGAGUAUGCGUGGGGCAUCUGAACCAACUACACUGAUUAAACCCUGUGUGACUCUGAGGUCCAU